UCGAGAAUCUUCGGCAAUGAGCGCAAGCUUGACCGAGCGACGCCGCGUGCGGGAUGAAGGCCUUCGGGUUGUAAACCGCUGUCAGUUGGGAGGAAAUGCGCAGGGGUUCUCCCCUGCGUUUGACCUAUCUUCAGAGGAAGGGCGGGCUAAGUUCGUGCCAGCAGCCGCGGUAAGACGAACCGCCCAAACGUUAUUCGGAAUCACUGGGCUUAAAGGGUGCGUAGGCGGCGCGAUAAGUCGGGUGUGAAAUCCCUCGGCUCAACCGAGGAACUGCGCCCGAUACUGUCGUGCUUGAGGGAGGCAGAGGUGAGCGGAACUGAUGGUGGAGCGGUGAAAUGCGUUGAUAUCAUCAGGAACACCGGUGGCGUAAGCGGCUCACUGGGCCUUUUCUGACGCUGAGGCACGAAAGCUAGGGGAGCGAACGGGAUUAGAUACCCCCGUAGUCC
rnacentral:rRNA from 1 species